AACCCCAUGUGAACUUAUACCAUUUACAACCGUUGCUUCGGCGGGUUCUCGCCCCGGGCUUUACACCCCGGAACCAGGCGGCCCGCCGGGGGACCCAAACUCUAGAUUUAUAUUUUAGCAUGUCUGAGUGGAAUCAUUACAAAAUGAAUCAAAACUUUCAACAACGGAUCUCUUGGUUCUGGCAUCGAUGAAGAACGCAGCGAAAUGCGAUAAGUAAUGUGAAUUGCAGAAUUCAGUGAAUCAUCGAAUCUUUGAACGCACAUUGCGCCCGCCAGUAUUCUGGCGGGCAUGCCUGUUCGAGCGUCAUUUCAACCCUCAAGCCCCAGCGGUUUGGUGUUGGGGACCGGCGAGUACAGAGGCUUUGGGGACUUGUCCCCCUUCCCUCGGCGCCGCCCCCGAAAUGAAUUGGCGGUCUCGUCGCGGCCUCCUCUGCGUAGUAGCACAACCUCGCAUCAGGAGCGCGGCGCGGCCACUGCCGUAAAACGCCCAACUUUUUUUAAGAGUUGACCUCGAAUCAGGUAGGAAUACCCGCUGAACUUAAGCAUAUCAAUAAGCGGAGGAA
rnacentral:rRNA from 1 species